rnacentral:rRNA from 1 species
GGCUCAGGAUGAACGCUGGCGGCGUGCCUAACACAUGCAAGUCGAACGAAGCACAUACGACGGAACUCUUCGGAGGGAAGAUGUAUGUGACUGAGUGGCGGACGGGUGAGUAACGCGUGGGUAACCUGCCCUAUACAGGGGGACAACAGUUGGAAACGACUGCUAAUACCGCAUAAGCGCACAGUACCGCAUGGUACAGAGCGAAAAACUCCGGUGGUAUGAGAUGGACCCGCGUCUGAUUAGCCAGUUGGCGGGUAACGGCCCACCAAAGCGACGAUCAGUAGCCGACCUGAGAGGGUGACCGGCCACAUUGGGACUGAGACACGGCCCAAACUCCUACGGGAGGCAGCAGUGGGGAAUAUUGCACAAUGGGGGAAACCCUGAUGCAGCGACGCCGCGUGAGCGAAGAAGUAUUUCGGUAUGUAAAGCUCUAUCAGCAGGGAAGAAGAAUGACGGUACCUGACUAAGAAGCACCGGCUAAAUACGUG